AUUGAACGCUGGCGGCAGGCCUAACACAUGCAAGUCGAGCGGUAGAGAGGUGCUUGCACCUCUUGAGAGCGGCGGACGGGUGAGUAAUGCCUAGGAAUCUGCCUGGUAGUGGGGGAUAACGUCCGGAAACGGACGCUAAUACCGCAUACGUCCUACGGGAGAAAGCAGGGGACCUUCGGGCCUUGCGCUAUCAGAUGAGCCUAGGUCGGAUUAGCUAGUUGGUGAGGUAAUGGCUCACCAAGGCGACGAUCUGUAACUGGUCUGAGAGGAUGAUCAGUCACACUGGAACUGAGACACGGUCCAGACUCCUACGGGAGGCAGCAGUGGGGAAUAUUGGACAAUGGGCGAAAGCCUGAUCCAGCCAUACCGCGUGUGUGAAGAGGGUCUUCGGAUUGUAAAGCACUUUAAGUUGGGAGGAAGGGUACUUACCUAAUACGUGAGUAUUUUGACGUUACCGACAGAAUAAGCACCGGCUAACUCUGUGCCAGCCGCCGCCGUAACAC
rnacentral:rRNA from 1 species